rnacentral:lncRNA from 1 species
AGCUACUACUAAUACUCACAGCUGACAAUUACUGAGCACUUGCUCCGUGCCAGGAAUCACGGAGGCACCUCGCAUGCAUUUCCUCAAUACUCCCUCCCAGUAACGGCGAGGACACAAAACUGGUAGAGCCAGGACUGGAAUCCAGGCAGGCCCCAAGGCACUCCAGUGGAGCCUGCCAAGGAGGGCAGGCUACCAUGCUAAUGAGGUCCAGUAUUUGACCACCACUCCUAGUUGAGCAAAUUAACAGAAAACCUAAAACUAAACUUAAAAUCUAAAAAUUUGAGCAAAUGCAUAAAAAGCAGCUGUUAAAAUGGAUCAUAAAUCUUGCAUCACUCGCUGGAAAACCACUCAAAAUAAACGUCUCUGAGACAUGGCCUCUGAGGAGGGCACUCCGUGUGGCUCGUAUCACCCUGGUGACAAACCAC